GUUGAAGAGGUGGGUGGCGGGAGUCUGUCAAGUGUCAGGGCCGGAGAAUGACUUGAGAAGGUGUUGGGUUACAUGGUUUCAAGAGAGGAUACAAGUAACGUUAACAGUUCCCAACAUUGGAGGAACAGAAGGCGUCUUGAGUAACUGAUGGAGAUGGCUGAAAGAGCAGAGACCGAGUACACAGAAUCGGACACAUUUUGUGAUUCACCCAGGAGAGGAAAAAUCAAAAAAUCAAAGAAAGACAAAUGUCUAAAAAAGAAUAAAACCCACAGGACAGAGUUGAAAGACACUGGUAUUGAAGACAAAAAGAAAACCAAAAAGGCCAAAGGUAAUAGGAAGAAGAAAAAGAAAGGAAAAGUAGCCCUGGGAUUACAAGAUAGCUAUUUUCUUUUUGAGGGAAACAGUGCACCAAACUCUCCAAUAAAGCCAAUUAAGUCUAGGGGGAAGUCCACUGUAAAAUUUGCUGUAAAACAUUACAUUAAGAAACAGGAACCUGUGCCAGUGGUUAGUGACUUAGUGAAGGUACCCAAGAAGAAGGCCCAGAGAAAAAAGAAAGUUGCAUUUGAUUUAUUCCCUGAUUACAUACAAGCAAAACAGCCAGAAGUAGUUAAGUGUUGCACCUCAACAACCAAAGAUACUUUUCCCUGGGAAAGCCCCAAGAGUGACAAUGAAAGCAACUUUUCUGGGACUUAUCAGUGUGGAGAGGGGCAAGAACAGGGAACAGAGUAUGGAAAGGGACAAACCAACUCUCAAAGUACUGCUGAAGAUGCCAACAGUGAGGACCUGUUCAUAACUCAGAAGAAAUUCAGAGUACUAACAUCUUCAGAUCACUCCAGCAGUGGAGGCACUGGUGAAGCCAACACCACAAAAUUGGCCAGGCAUACCAAGUCACUCAUAGAGCCAAAAGAGGAGCCACUGCUCUGGAAGUCAACAUCUGAGACAGCCACUCAAACAGAGAACUUCUUUACCUCAGAGAUCUCCACAUUCCUCAGGUUUCACCAGUCGUGUGGAGCUGCCGAGUGCUCAGAGCAACCUACUGACCUGUCUCUCCCUAACAGGACGAGGGCAGAGAUGGGCAUACAUCCCCCAUCUCAAAGAAAAGCCAAUGAAGAGGAAACCAGCCCCCCACUUGGCCAGAAGUCAGACACAACGUCAAGUGAGGAGAAUGACCCAUUCUGGCGGUGCAAGAGUCAAGUUAAGGCAGUUCAGAUGAGACUGAAUGAAUCUUUCUUCUUUAAGAUGAAGGGCGAGGGACAGUCCCCAAGACCACAAUCUCCCUUGAUGAAACUUACACAGGCCUGUGGUAGGAAGAAAACAAAAAAGUAACAAGUGAAGUUUAAACCCAAACUUCCCCUCAAGAACAAAAAAAAGUCAAAAACAAUACAAUUUUAUUAGUGAUAGUCAUUCACAAGGAUACAUUUUCUUCGUGGCGUUCUUUGUCCCAGGUUUCCAAAAUAGGUUCAUUUUAUAGUUUUAUAUGUUUUCUAAGUUGAAUUAAAAACACAUUCAAUAAAAACAUGUAUUAAUGCACAUUUUAUGGAAGAAAUUGCAUGUCACUCAUCAAAUAAAGUUUCUUAAUUUGUCAUUUUCUUACAAUCAUUUAGUGGAUCAUUAGCUGUGGUAGCAAUAGCAGCUUCAUGUGCAAUGCCAUCACCACAGUACACAUCACUAAUUGAUAACCUUUAUUAUUAGUGACAUUCAACUGAAACACUAUUCAUGUAAAGCAAGCGUACACUAAUUGUGUCUGAAUAGCUUGAUUCCAAUCCACUUCCAUAGAUGAAAAAACACAUAGACUGGGAUGGUGACUGGUAACAGAAGACUGUAGAAACACACACUGCUAGUGCUUGUACAUCCCUGAGGGAAAUUAUCAUCCACAGUUGCAGAAUAGAAAAGUCCAAAUAGGGAGACUAUAGGAA